rnacentral:snRNA from 1 species
CGCCGCCGGCAGUUACCACGGC